CCCCUACUGCACUCAAGUCUGCCCGUACCCACUGCACACCCGGAGUUAAGCCCCGGGCUUUCACAGCAGACGCGACAAACCGCCUACGAGCUCUUUACGCCCAAUAAUUCCGGACAACGCUUGCGCCCUACGUAUUACCGCGGCUGCUGGCACGUAGUUAGCCGGCGCUUCUUCUGCACGUACCGUCACUCUCGCUUCUUCCGUGCUGAAAGAGGUUUACAACCCGAAGGCCGUCAUCCCUCACGCGGCGUCGCUGCAUCAGGCUUCCGCCCAUUGUGCAAUAUUCCCCACUGCUGCCUCCCGUAGGAGUCUGGGCCGUGUCUCAGUCCCAGUGUGGCCGGUCACCCUCUCAGGCCGGCUACCCGUCGUCGCCUUGGUGAGCCAUUACCCCACCAACAAGCUGAUAGGCCGUGAGCCCAUCCAAAACCAGUAAAACCCUUUCCACAACACACCAUGCGAUGCGCCGUCGUAUCCAGUAUUAGACCCAGUUUCCCAGGCUUAUCCCAGAGUCAAGGGCAGGUUACUCACGUAUUACUCACCCGUUCGCCACUCAUCCACCCAGUGCAAGCACCAAGCUUCAGCGUUCGACUUGCAUGUGUUAAGCACGCCGCCAGCGUUCGUCUGAGCCAGG
rnacentral:rRNA from 1 species